GACCUGAGUCAGAAGAAAUAAGGAGAAGAGGAACGGGACUACUCUUUCGGGACUAAUCUUUGUUCCUUGCUAUUGUUGCUUAGCUUCUCCAUAUUCUUCUUGAUAGAUCGGCGCUCGAGAGGCAGAGUCUCAAGGAACCAAGCAUCUUCAAGUAUUAUACUUCUCCUCUGCUUCGGCAGGGUCUGAGUCGUUUCUAUUUGUAUUAUUGGUGGUUGGUUGUUGCCAUGUUUCAUGGAUGAGACAGAAGAGCCCCGUCGACGGGUACUUAGAUUAAGUAGGAUGCACGAUCUAGAAUUCUCGAUUUUUCUUUUCGGAGAAGCAUCGAUUGAGUUCGAUCGUCUUAGUUGUCGUCCUACCGCGGUAUAUUCCUAAACGCUGUGUAGGUCCUAUGGGCCUAUUAUCACUUGGGUAAAACCAUACCGCAGACAUUU
rnacentral:snoRNA from 1 species